rnacentral:rRNA from 1 species
UACACAUGCAAGUCGAGCGAGACCUUCGGGUCUAGCGGCGGACGAGUUAGUACCCUUGGGAACGUACCUUUUGCUUCGGAAUAGCCUCGGGACACUGGGAGUAAUACCGAAUGUGCCCUUUGGGGGAAAGAUUUAUCGGCAAAAGAUCGGCCCGCGUCUGAUUAGAUAGUUGGUGGGGUAAUGGCCUACCAAGUCUGCGAUCAGUAGCUGGUUUGAGAGGAUGAUCAGCAACACUGGGACUGAGACACGGCCCAGACUCCUACGGGAGGCAGCAGUGGGGAAUCUUAGACAAUGGGCGCAAGCCUGAUCUAGCGAUGCCGCGUGAGUGACGAAGGCCUUAGGGUCGUAAAGCUCUUUCGCCAGGGAUGAUAAUGACAGUACCUGGUAAAGAAACCCCGGCUAACUCCGUGCCAGCAGCCGCGGUAAUACGGAGGGGGUUAGCGUUGUUCGGAAUUACUGGGCGUAAAGCGCACGUAGGCGGAUUAGAAAGUUGGGGGUGAAAUCCCAGGGCUCAACCCUGGAACUGCCUCCAAAACUACUAGUCUAGAGUUCGAGAGAGGUGAGUGGAAUUCCGAGUGUAGAGGUGAAAUUCGUAGAUAUUCGGAGGAA